GAUGAACGCUAGCGGCAGGCUUAACACAUGCAAGUCGAGGGGUAACGAUAGUGCUUGCACUAGAUGACGACCGGCGCACGGGUGAGUAACGCGUAUGCAACCUACCUCAAACAGGGGGAUAGCUCAGGGAAACUUGGAUUAAUACUCCAUAGUUUUCUAGAUUCGCAUGAAUUUAGAAAUAAAGUUUCGACGGUAAAGGAUGGGCAUGCGUGCCAUUAGUUUGUUGGUGAGGUAACGGCGCACCAAGACUACGAUGGUUAUGGGGUCUAAAAGGAUGGUCCCACACACUGGUACUGAGACACGGACCAGACUCCUACGGGAGGCAGCAGUGAGGAAUAUUGGUCAAUGGGCGAAAGCCUGAACCAGCCAUCCCGCGUUAAGGAUGACAGUCCUAGAGAUUGUAAACUUCUUUUAUAUAGGAAGAAUAAGAGCUACGUGUAGCUUGAUGACUGUACUAUAAGAAUAAGCACCGUCUAACUCCGUGCCAGCAGCCGCGGUAAUACGGAGGGUGCAAGCGUUAUCCGGAUUUAUUGGGUUUAAAGGGUGCGUAGGCGGAAGACUAAGUCAGGGGUGAAAUCCUGUAGCUUAACUAUUGUAAGCCUUUGAUACUGGUUUUCUUGAAUAUAGUUGAGGUAGGCGGAAUGUGUAGUGUAGCGGUGAAAUGCUUAGAGAUUACACAGAACUCCGAUUGCGAAGGCAGCUUACUAUGGCCGUUACUGACGCUAAGGCACGAAAGCUUGGAUAUCAAAGAGGAUUAGAUACCCUGGUAGUCCACGCUGUAAACUAUGAUUACUCGUUGUUGGCAAUACAUAGUCAGCGACUAAGCGAAAGCAUUAAGUAAUCCACCUGGGGAGUACGUUCGCAAGAAUGAAACUCAAAGGAAUUGACGGGGGCCCGCACAAGCGGAGGAACAUGUGGUUUAAUUCGAUGAUACGCGAGGAACCUUACCUGGGCUUAAAUGUAGAGUGCAUUAUUUGGAAACAGAUAUUUCCUUCGGGACUCUUUACAAGGUGCUGCAUUGUUGUCGUCAGCUCGUGCCGUGAGGUGUCGGGUUAAGUCCCAUAACGAGCGCAACCCUCAUUGCCAGUUGCCAUCACGUAAAGGUGGGGACUCUGGUGAAACUGCCGGUGUAAACCGCGAGGAAGGUGGGGAUGACGUCAAAUCAGCACGGCCCUUACGUCCAGGGCUACACACGUGUUACAAUGGCCAAUACAAUGGGCAGCCACCUGGCAACAGGGAGCAAAUCCAGAAAAUUGGUCUUAGUUCGGAUCGCAGUCUGCAACUCGACUCCGUGAAGCUGGAUUCGCUAGUAAUCGUACAUCAGCAAUGGUACGGUGAAUACGUUCCCGGGCCUUGUACACACCGCCCGUCAAGCCAUGGAAGUUGGGGGUACCUGAAGUCUGUCACCGUAAGGAGCGGCCUAGGGUAAAACUGAUGACUGGGGCU
rnacentral:rRNA from 1 species